rnacentral:lncRNA from 1 species
AGUCCUCAGGGUUCAAGUUCCUUGCUUCGCUGGGCAGCCCCAGAGGUCAUCACACACGGGAAGUACACAACAUCUAGCGAUGUCUGGAGCUUUGGCAUACUCAUGUGGGAAGUGAUGAGCUAUGGAGAACGGCCCUACUGGGACAUGAGUGACCAGGAGGUACUAAAUGCGAUAGAGCAAGAGUUCCGGCUGCCCCCACCUCCGGGGUGCCCUACUGGACUACAUCUGCUGAUGCUAGACACUUGGCAGAAGGACCGUGCCCGUCGGCCUCACUUUGACCAGCUCGUAGCCGCGUUUGACAAGAUGAUACGCAAGCCUGAUACCCUCCAGGCUGAAGGGAGCUCCGGGGACAGGCCUUCCCAGGCUCUUCUGAACCCUGUGGCCUUGGACUUUCCUUGCCUGGACUCUCCCCAGGCCUGGCUUUCAGCCAUUGGACUAGAGUGCUACCAGGACAACUUCUCUAAGUUUGGUCUUUCCACCUUCAGUGAUGUGGCUCAGCUCAGCCUUGAAGACCUGCCAGGCCUGGGCAUCACCCUAGCUGGCCACCAGAAGAAACUACUGCAUAACAUCCAGCUCCUCCAGCAGCACCUGAGGCAGCCAGGCUCGGUGGAAGUGUAAAGCCUGGUCAGCAAUCUGUGAGCUGCCGCUGAUGCCCCAACCCAGCCCUGGCCAUAGGGUGGAGGAGGGGCGUGUGAGACUGAGCCAGACUCUAUUCCAGCCUCCAUGCCUGCCACAUUAAACCCAGCCCUCUGGACAUUGCACCCCCAAAUCCUGCUCUUCCAACAGCCUCCCCCAUAUUAAAGGGAAAGAAGGGAAUUUAUAAGUUG